CAGUCGCCACGGUAAUACAGAGGGUGCGAGCGUUAAUCGGAUUUACUGGGCGUAAAGCGUGCGUAGGCGGCUUCUUAAGUCGGAUGUGAAAUCCCUGAGCUUAACUUAGGAAUUGCAUUCGAUACUGGGAAGCUAGAGUAUGGGAGAGGAUGGUAGAAUUCCAGGUGUAGCGGUGAAAUGCGUAGAGAUCUGGAGGAAUACCGAUGGCGAAGGCAGCCAUCUGGCCUAAUACUGACGCUGAGGUACGAAAGCAUGGAGAGCAAACAGGAUUAGAUACCCCUGUAGUCCCUGUCUCUUAUAC
rnacentral:rRNA from 1 species